AUAGUACUCCCUCCGUUCCUAAAUAUUUGUCUUUCUAGACAUUUCAAAUGACUACUACAUACGGAUAUAUGUAGACAUAUUUUAGAGUGUAGAUUCACUCAUUUUGCUCCGUAUGUAGUCAUUUGUUGAAAUGCCUAGAAAGACAAGUAUUUAGGAACGGAGGGAGUAUAUU
rfam:Triticum aestivum genome assembly, contig: Triticum_aestivum_CS42_TGACv1_scaffold_289171_4AL